rnacentral:rRNA from 1 species
GAACGCUGGCGGCAGGCCUAACACAUGCAAGUCGAACGGUAACAGGAAGCAGCUUGCUGCUUUGCUGACGAGUGGCGGACGGGUGAGUAAUGUCUGGGAAACUGCCUGAUGGAGGGGGAUAACUACUGGAAACGGUAGCUAAUACCGCAUAACGUCGCAAGACCAAAGAGGGGGACCUUCGGGCCUCUUGCCAUCAGAUGUGCCCAGAUGGGAUUAGCUUGUUGGUGGGGUAACGGCUCACCAAGGCGACGAUCCCUAGCUGGUCUGAGAGGAUGACCAGCCACACUGGAACUGAGACACGGUCCAGACUCCUACGGGAGGCAGCAGUGGGGAAUAUUGCACAAUGGGCGCAAGCCUGAUGCAGCCAUGCCGCGUGUAUGAAGAAGGCCUUCGGGUUGUAAAGUACUUUCAGCGGGGAGGAAGGUGUUGUGGUUAAUAACCACAGCAAUUGACGUUACCCGCAGAAGAAGCACCGGCUAACUCCGUGCCAGCCGCAGC